GACGGAGGAUGCAAGCGUUAUCCGGAAUGAUUGGGCGUAAAGCGUCCGCAGGUGGCAGUUCAAGUCUGCUGUCAAAGACCGGGGCUUAACUUCGGAAAGGCAGUGGAAACUGAACAGCUAGAGUAUGGUAGGGGCAGAGGGAAUUCCUGGUGUAGCGGUGAAAUGCGUAGAGAUCAGGAGGAACACCGGUGGCGAAAGCGCGAUACUGGGCCGUAACUGACGCUGAGGAACGAAAGCCAGGGGAGCGAAAGGG
rnacentral:rRNA from 1 species